AGAUCCAUAGUUCAGUGGUUAGAACACUGGUCUUGUAAGCCAGGGGUCGCGAGUUCGACCCUCGCUGGGGCCU